rnacentral:rRNA from 1 species
UACGUAGGGUGCAAGCGUUGUCCGGAAUUAUUGGGCGUAAAGAGCUCGUAGGCGGUCUGUCGCGUCGGAUGUGAAAACUCGGGGCUCAACCCCGAGCCUGCAUUCGAUACGGGCAGACUAGAGUUCGGUAGGGGAGACUGGAAUUCCUGGUGUAGCGGUGAAAUGCGCAGAUAUCAGGAGGAACACCGGUGGCGAAGGCGGCAUCCUGGACCAAUAUUGACGCUGAGGAGCGAAAGCUAGGGGAGCAAACGGG